UUAGUAACUCCGCCUGUAGCUCUUAUAGGGUUGCUGCCGGUCCCAAGCCCGGGUAAAGGAGGAGGGUUGG
rnacentral:ribozyme from 1 species